rnacentral:lncRNA from 1 species
CCUGGACCACAUUCUCCAGCAGCUUUUAUUCAUCCAAAGCUGCUUCCAAAAGGGCUCAGGGGCAUCAGUCGGUCAGCAGCAAUCAGUGGGUUAAUACAGCCUCACUUCUGCCUCCGUCAGAUGUUCAGGAGAAGAUAAUGAGGCAGGGACAGAGCCUGCAGGUUAAUGACAUACCCCAACUGGAAGACAGAAAUCUGAGAGGAGAGACUGGGAAGCAGAAGAGGAAAGGGAAAUGAAUUCUCAUGGGAAUCUAUCAGCCAAAGCACAAGUUUCACUUAUGUUGAGUGGAAAUGGAGGCUUCUCUAAAAGAAACUAUUGGCAGAGGCAAGUGAACCACUGAAACAAAAUACAUUGGCAAAUAAGAAAGAAAUCACAAGGCAGACAAGAGCUGCCCUGAACAAUGGUGGAGAGGAGGUUGGCACAGCCAAGUUCUCUGCAGUCACCCUGCUGCUGCAUGUGGAUCAGAUUCAGACCAGGGCAGUGGGAUGCAACAAGCUGAAUUUCUUGACUGACCUUCAGCCUUCCCCCUCCGUGGCAAUAUACAGCUUUCUGUUCUGCUAAGUGAAAGUCAGAAACAGGGGCCAACUGAAAAGUAAUUCUUUUCACUCUUUUGCAGAAACAACAAAAAGGUUGCUUCUGAAGAUGAGAAAUUCUUUUGCUCAUCUCUACUGGAGACUGAAUUGUUUAUUGUAUUGACUGCCCAUCAUUGUGGGCUGGGUUUUAACAGAUAUGACAAUUUAUCUGUAUCAAGGAUGGGGGGGGUGCUGUUGUGAUACAUUAAAUACCUUUGCAAUCUUUUUUAUUUUUUUUCUUCUUAUCUUUCUUUCUCUCUUUCUUUUUUU